rnacentral:rRNA from 1 species
AGCGGCGGACGGGUGAGUAACGCGUGGGUAACUGCCUCAUACAGGGGGAUAACAGUUGGAAACGGCUGCUAAUACCGCAUAAGCGCACAGUACCGCAUGGUACGGUGUGAAAAACUCCGGUGGUAUGAGAUGGACCCGCGUCUGAUUAGGUAGUUGGUGGGGUAACGGCCUACCAAGCCGACGAUCAGUAGCCGACCUGAGAGGGUGACCGGCCACAUUGGGACUGAGACACGGCCCAG